GAGAGAGAGAGAGAGAGAGAUCUGAAAGAAGAUUCUCUUGUGCAAUUAGUAAAUAACUAUAUAUUCCAUACAAGUUCCCUGUUGUCAUGUUGGCCCCCAAAAUAAUUUUUUAAGGGCAGUUAAAUUGACCAAUAAUCAAUACAAAUCAGUUGAAUGGAUCCCCCGACUUACUAGAGGUACUGAGAAAAAAGAGGCAUUUGUCAGUCAAACAACACACCACCCCAAUACGCACCCAUCCAUACCGACUCCCGAAACACUGAGAGCUUCAACCACAUAGAACAUGUGGAAAUAGAAAAUGGUAAAUAAGUGCAUCAUAGAUAAUGAGACAGAACAAAAUUCUAGGUAUCAAAUUAGAUUGCAGAGCCUAGGAUAAUAAAACUAGGAACCAGCAACAAUCAGCAAGUUGCAUAAGCAGAAGUCAAAUGCAGGUACUUCAAUCCAACUUAAAACUAUAAGCUUAAAACAAAUAUACAGAAAGCCAAAGUUAAUAUUUGAAUUUCAAUUAAACCAUUGAGUUCUUUUCAUCCAGCUUAGAAAUGAUAAUAAGAUAAACUGAAAAUAAGUUGAGAAAGACAAGAUGUGCAUAGCUGGUACUUGAAAGUUAGAGAAUCAUAUAAACAAUGGUUGACGUCACUUUGACAAGCUUCAACUACCCAAGACAAUAAGAAAUAACAAUAUUUUACUGACUUACUUCAAAAAAAAAUAAAAAGACCACCUGGCAACUGAAUCCUGACAACUAAGCUACCCCACUAACAGACAAUCAAGUAUAUCAGGAUCCUCAUAACUAUUAAGGUUCACCUCAUAGUUACGUAUAUCUAUGAAUGUCAUACUCAAUACACACCAAGAACAUAUAUGCCAAGAAAAGUCAAGAAGCAAACCAUUGUAAGCUCCUGAAUAUACA
rnacentral:misc_RNA from 1 species